UGGAAUCCCAAUGCCGGGCAGCCAGGGCCAAAUCUAUAUUCUCCCAACAUUGGGUACCCUGGAGGCCCAAUCCUGCCCACCCACCACCUAUCAAUCCACCCUUUCCCCAGGCCCCUUUCCUCCUCCCUGAGGAGCUCUGCAGGGCAAUCCAACUUUUCCCCCAAGUGGAGCCCCUCAUCCUGUGCCACAGCCACAGUAUCCAGGAUGCCAACCCUUGGUUCCCCACCCUCUUUCACACCCCCUCCUGCCCCUGGAAUGCCUCCUGUGAAUCCCUUGGCUCCUGACAUGGUUGGACCAGGAGUGAUAGUGGACAAGAAGAUUCAGAAGAAAAUGAAGAAAUUUCCUAAAAAGGUACACAAGCACUACAAGCACCACAAGCAUGCCAAGCAUUCCUCCUCCCCUUCCUCCUCCUCUUCCAGCAGUGACUCUG
rnacentral:lncRNA from 1 species